rnacentral:rRNA from 1 species
GACGAACGCUGGCGGCGUGCUUAACACAUGCAAGUCGAACGGAGUGCCUAAGAAAGAGGAUUCGUCCAAUGGAUUAGGUUACUUAGUGGCGGACUGGUGAGUAACGCGUGAGGAACCUGCCUUCCAGAGGGGGACAACAGUUGGAAACGACUGCUAAUACCGCAUGAUACGUCGAAGCCGCAUGACUUUGACGUCAAAGAUUUAUCGCUGGAAGAUGGCCUCGCGUCUGAUUAGCUAGUUGGUGGGGUAACGGCCCACCAAGGCGACGAUCAGUAGCCGGACUGAGAGGUUGGCCGGCCACAUUGGGACUGAGACACGGCCCAA